UACAGAGGGGGCAAGCGUUAUUCGGAAUUAUUGGGCGUAAAGGGCGCGUAGGCGGCAUCGCAAGUGGAAGGUGAAAUCCCUCGGCUUAACCGAGGAACUGCCCUCCAAACUGCGUUGCUUGAGGCCGGGAGAGGUGAGUGGAAUUCCCAGUGUAGUGGUGAAAUACGUAGAGUAUUGGGAAGAACACCAGUGGCGAAGGCGGCUAUCUGG
rnacentral:rRNA from 1 species